GACGAAGGAUGCAAGCGUUAUCCGGAUUCAUUGGGUUUAAAGGGAGCGUAGGUGGUCUUAUAAGUCAGUGGUGAAAUCUCUGGGCUUAACCCAGAAAUUGCCAUUGAUACUGUAGGACUUGAGUAUAGUUGCCGUUGGCGGAAUAUGACAUGUAGUGGUGAAAUACAUAGAGAUGUCAUAGAACACCGAUUGCGAAGGCAGCUAACGAAACUAUAACUGACACUGAGGCUCGAAAGUGUGGGGAUCAAACAGG
rnacentral:rRNA from 2 species